GAUGAACGCUAGUUACAGGCUUAACACAUGCAAGUCGAGGGGUAACGAGAGGAAAGCUUGCUUUCCUUGUCGACGACCGGCGCACGGGUGAGUAACGCGUAUCCAACCUGCCCCCAACUAAGGAAUAACCUUGCGAAAGUAAGACUAAUACCUUAUAAUUUCCUCAGAUGUCAUCUGACGAGGAAUAAAGAUUUAUCGGUUGUGGAUGGGGAUGCGUCUGAUUAGCUUGUUGGCGGGGUAACGGCCCACCAAGGCAACGAUCAGUAGGGGUUCUGAGAGGAAGGUCCCCCACAUUGGAACUGAGACACGGUUCAAACUCCUACGGGAGGCAGCAGAGAGGAAUAUUGGUCAAUGGGCGGAAGCCUGAACCAGCCAAGUAGCGUGCAGGACGACGGCCCUAUGGGUUGUAAACUGCUUUUAUACAGGAAUAAAGUUAGCCACGUGUGGUUAUUUGUAGGUACUGUAUGAAUAAGGACCGGCUAAUUCCGUGCCAGCCGCCGCCGUAA
rnacentral:rRNA from 1 species